GGCUAAUUUUAUACAGGAAAUCAACAUCUCAUCUUCAUCUUCUGAAUGACAAAGAAAAAUAAACUCGGCACCCUGGCUUUCUUGGUCUGGACCUUUUGCUGUAGUCUCUUUAACGUCCCCAUUGAUUCCACUGGGUCACCACCUGAUUUUACGGCCUAGCACAAACAGAGCUCAAGAUGUUUUCUAAGAAGACUGACUUAUAAAUUGAACUCAUCAUCCAACCAAUAAACGAACUUUUAUUGAGCACCCUACUGUAUGCCAAGCACUGUCACACAUUCUGAGGAUAUGGCAUUGAACAAGUAAAAUGAGACCCCUGCUUUCGUACGGUCUACAUUCUAGGGGGAAGUGACAUACCAUAAACAUAUAAACACAUACAUAAACAAGAAAAUGUGAUAUCUGCUAUGCUAACAGUUAACAGCAUGACUGAGUGUGGAUGGGGGAGGAUUACUAAUUUACACUGGGUGGUGGUCGGGGGUGGUUUCACUACAGAUACUGAAGCUGAGCCUGAAUUAUAAGAAGGAACCGGAUGUGAAGAUUUGGAGAUGGCUUUGAAUUCAGUGGAUGGUCAGGGAGGUCAUUUCCAGAACUAAGAUCUGAAUAACAGAGAAGGGUCAGCCCAGCGACUAGCAGGGGGAAGAGAAUUCCUGUGAGGGUAGGGCUUGUGCAAAGGUUCCAAAGCUGAAGAUCCUGGAAGAAUUCUUAGCAUGCCCAAGGAAGAGAACAGAGGGAAGAGCAUUGUAAGAUCAGCCAGAGACCUGAUGAGGGGCCCUCAAGGAGUUUUGUAGAACAAGGUGAGGAACAUGUAUUUGUUCUAAUAUUCUUCUUCCGACUUUAUUGAAUUUUGAUCAUCUUACUUUUUAAAGGGCUUUCCCCAAAAGCAUUCAAAAUAUGUUCUGAUCUUAUCCAUCUUUAAUUCACCAUAUUUUAUUUACCACUCUUUCUGCUCCCUUUCCCGGGCAUGCUUCUCAGAAAAGUUAACCGUGUAUGCUUCCUUUAAUUCCUCUAAUUUCUCAUCUUUCAACUCCCCUCACGUACUUGUCAGUCAGCUUUUGCCUCUACUAUUCCAUUUAGAUUGCUUUUGUUUUCCAAUGAACUAUUUUCAGAUUCCAUUAUUGCUUGAUAUGCAGCAAUAUUGACCAUGAUGAUCUGCAGGAAACAAUUUCUUUUCUUGGCCUCUGUGACACACAUUUUCUGGUUUUCCUUUCACCCUUUCUGGCUGUUCUUUCUCUAACUCCUAUAUUCUGGUAACUCCUUUUCUCUCAAAACUAAAUGCUUAAAUUCCUUUACAGCUAGCUCUGGGUCCUCAUCUAAUAUUACCAUCAUUCUUUUCUCACCUACACACACACACACACACACACACACACACACACACUUUUUAAGGCCACUUACAUGCUGAUGAUUCCUAAUUAUUUCUCCAGGGUUUUUGUUAGAGCUUCAGACUUACAGAUGCAACUGUCUACCUAAAAUGACUUCUGAGCACUAUCAAAACUGACCUCUACACCACCAACAUGAUUCUCAUCUUCUUCCACUCAGUGAAUGCCAUCUUCAUCCACCCUCAUGCACAUUGCAUAAAUCAGAUUAUCACCUUUGCCACUUACCUCUCCUCUGUUUACUUAUAUUUAUUCCAUUACUGAAUUUGGUCUAUUCUAUUACUGAGUUUGGUCUGUCCUCCAAAAUGUAUCUUGAACCUGUUUCUUUUUCACCAUUUCCAUUUUUACCACCCUAGUUUAAUCUUCUCUCAUUGAAACUACUGCCAAAAGUCUCUUUUGUUUUGCUUUGUUUUUUUACUUUUGCCUUUCUUCAGUUGAUUCACAAUAUAAUGUUAGAGUUCUCUUUGAAAGAUGUAAAUCUGAUGAUACUACUAUCUUGCUUAAAUUACUGCAAAAUUUCCCAGGGUUCUUUAAGUAAAAUCCCAAAUAUUUGACUGGGUUUGUAAGACCUAUGUCUCCAGACUCCCUUCACACUCACCAGGUGAAGAUGUUUAGAUUCCCAAUCUCCAAAGCACGUUGUUUCCUGAGUGUUUUAUGUACACUGCUCUCUCUGCCUGGAAUGCAUAUUCUCAUUCACCCGGACUGGUGAAUUCCUACUCACCCCUGCAGCUUCCUCCUAAACGUCAUUUUUCAGAGAGAUCUUUCCUGACUCCCAAGUCCAAAUUAGAUCCCUAUUCUUUUACCUUCUUGGCUUUCACCACAAUUUCCGAUUUAUAUUUUUGUGUCAUCAUCGGUUAAAUGUCUUCCUUCCCCAUAGACUCUAAACUGAAGGAAGGCAGAAACCAUAACCUUCCAUAUAGGUACCAUGAAGUAUGCUUGGUACCUAUAACAUUGUUGAUAGUUGGUACUCUGUAUGAACUAGUUGAAGUAAUGAUACAAAAUGAAUGAAUGAAUGGAUGAGGACUUGAUUUGGUAAAAUCUAUUUCUUUAAAAUGUAAUGAUGUGAAAAACAGAAUUAGGGAUUGAGACUGAGAGAAAGAGAUAAGAAAAUUUUUGUAUUUAGUUUAAGUUUUUCUCCUA